UUCCAAAUUACAUGAAGAGCAUCAUAUGCUGUACAGGCGACAUAUACUGGCGCUGGGAUUGCGCUAGCACUGAUAGCUGAGACGGAGCUAUUUGUCGGCCCGUUAUUCAAGUUGAUGAGCAAUCGGCAUUAGUGAAGAGAAAAGGGGAAAGAGAGAAUUCAUUCUAGAGUUCGGCUUUCUCUAACCUUAGCGGGUAACCUUUACAGUAAUUUGUGAGCGGUGGUAUCAUUUCUCUUGACUCGGUAGCUGAUAACAAAACAAAGAGCUGGGAUUUCUAAUAAAAAAUUACCGCUAAGGGUGGAGCUGAUCUGGCUGAAAACUGACUAGUAACGUAAGGGUAGAAGCGAAUAGUUGGCAGUUUGAUUAGUGAUGACAGAAAGUUGUUGAAAAGUUCAAGCCAUGGGAUUAACCUCACAAAAUUUCCAUAAAGCGCUGAACACGCUGAAGAGUUGGACUAUACAUAGAAGUGCAAAAAGCUACCAACGUAACCAGUGCUACAAUCAAAAGGACCUAUCCGCUAGGAACCGCUGCGUCAUUACUUGAAGUGUUUGCGAUAAUCGGGGAUGUAGCAACAUAAUUUCGUAUGAUCGCACACAGUUUGCGUUGAAAUGCAUCAUUGCUGUGAUACGGGCUUUUGGAUGUUGCCUUCAGGAUUUCUAAAAAUAAAUUAUACGUGAAGCCCUACAAAAUUCAAAAAGUACAAGACUUGGCAGCUGUUCAGUAAAAAUUAGGUUUGAACAGCACACGCACGCUUCGAAUUGAAUAAUCUGGUCAUUUCUGAUAAGAAAAUUUUUACCAUACUGUCGGAUCUAUCUCUCUCAUCGCAAAACUGUUGAAAAAGAGUAUUUGUUGGCGUAUCGGAAGCAAAAAUUGAUUUGAUUUGGAUAACGCUCACUUGUAAGAACAUUCUUCACUGACUGAGGGAUACAAAAUAAACGCUACACACUACAAUCAUUUCAAGUCAGAGUGAUUUGUGUCCUAGCAGGACUUUGUGUGCAAAUGUGUGCAUCAUAUUCCCCUGACCUUAAUCUGGCGAAUUUUGUUGUGUGAAGGAUUUUGAAGAACAAAGUGUCAACAGCAAAUA